CCCAUCGUUCCUGUACAUAAACACAGCUUCUGAAAAUGGAAACAAAAAGAGAAAAAGAGGAUAUCAUGUGAGAACACAAUGGGUUACAUUCAGAGACUUGCGUGGUGGUUAGAGAUGUCAAAUGGGCUGUCCAUGUCCACUGGACAUGUCCAAAUGGACAAAUCAGUUUAUUGGACAUUAUUUUUUUUAAGUCCAAAUUAUACCAAGUUCAAAUUGUCCAGACCAAAUUGGACCAUUCCAAAUGGGCAUUCCGCGGAGUCCAAUUAAAAAAUCAGUGUUAACAUACAAAAAUUCAUAUUUAAUAUAUUAUUAUGUGUUGUAGAAUUCAAAAGCAUAGAUACGAUUUUGGCGAGAAAUCUCGAUUUACGGUUUUGGAGGAAAAUCUCGAUUUUACGGUUUUGGCGGGAAAUCUCGAUUUUAUAGUUUUGGCGAGAAAUCUUGAUUUUACGGUUUUGGCGGAAAAUCUCGAUUUUACGGUUUUGACAGAAAAGUAUAUCUACAGUUUUGGCGGAAAAUCUCGAUUUUACAGUUUUGGCGAAAAAAUCUCGAUUUAUGGAUUUGGCGGGAAAACUCGAUUUAUGGUUUUGGCGAAAAAACUUGAAAAUUCAAUUUUACGGUUUUGGCGGAAAAACUAGAUUUACAGUUUUGGCGGGAAAUUUCGAUUUUACGGUUUUGGCGGAAAACGAGAUUUUACGGGUUUAACGUAAAAAUGUGAUUUUACGGUUUUGGCAAGAAAACGUUAUUCCACGGUUUUAACGGGAAAAUAUGAUUUACGGUUUUGACGGAAAACAUGAUUUUUACUCAAAUACAUUAACCCUAAAUAUUUUAAAAUUUUGGGCCGUCCAUGUCCAUCUGGAUUUGUCCAUUUGGAUAUGGGUGUAUUUGGGCCUCGUCCAUUUGCACAAAACAAAAUUAUGGUCAAAUAUGGGUAUGUCCAUAUUGGUUUGGACAUGGGCUACCCAUGGACAGCAUGCCCAUUUGACAUCCCUAGUGGUGGUACAUUGAUCAGAACUCAGAAGAGAACACCAUCGUCUUGGCGUCUUUCUGCCUUCAUUGUUGUUUGUUAUUUGUGUGUCAGACAUCCUUUUUCUUUUGUCCAUGAUUCUUAUAUGGAUUAUUAGUACGUAGUGUUAUUAUUCAAGUAAAGUUGUUUGGGGUAUAUGAGUGAGACAGUUUUUUUUUGUUGGGAGAACGAACCAUGCUGCUCCUGGCCUUCCCAAUGUGAUAUAUAUACAGUAGUGUGUUGUAUUUGGUAUAAGUUCCAAUUAUUCAGAGUGAUAAUAUAUAUUAUCAUCAUGAUAAGGUAUCACUUGGCUUGUCAUCUUUUCGAAACAGGAAAGUGAAUCAUUAAUUAAAGUGCAGGGAAGGAAAUGUCAACAAGCGAAGAGAUCACGAAAGCAAAAAAGCCCUAAACAUUCCCUGUGAAAGUUUUCUAAGGAAGCAAAUUCAAAAAAUGCAACAUAAAAGGAUUUAAUUGAAUCGACAUUUAUAUUAAAGAACAUACAUGUAUACAAAACACAUGACAUAUACAACCAUAAGGAUUUGAUGCAGCUUUUCUGAAUCUUGGAACCAUACUACUACUACUACUUUACCUCGAAGUUGCACAAUGUGCAAUAUAGAAGAGCCUCUUCGUUGUUUCCCUGUUGUUCAGACCUCUCUUCCUUCUUUCCCUGUCGUCUUCGAGAACAAACAUGCAAUAGAAGAUAGCUAGAGGCUUGUAGCAAGAUUUGUAGGAACCUGAAACUCGUUAAAUUUGCAAACAUCCAUGCAUGUGUGCAAUUUGGUAUUCGGUUAUAUGGUUUUAUCCUAAGAUUCAAGUUGCUAAACCUCGUCUCUAUCUC
rnacentral:lncRNA from 1 species